GAUGAACGCUGGCGGCGUGCCUAAUACAUGCAAGUCGAGCGAACAGACGAGGAGCUUGCUCCUCUGACGUUAGCGGCGGACGGGUGAGUAACACGUGGAUAACCUACCUAUAAGACUGGGAUAACUUCGGGAAACCGGAGCUAAUACCGGAUAAUAUAUUGAACCGCAUGGUUCAAUAGUGAAAGACGGUUUUGCUGUCACUUAUAGAUGGAUCCGCGCCGCAUUAGCUAGUUGGUAAGGUAACGGCUUACCAAGGCAACGAUGCGUAGCCGACCUGAGAGGGUGAUCGGCCACACUGGAACUGAGACACGGUCCAGACGCCUACGGGAGGCAGCAGUAGGGAAUCUUCCGCAAUGGGCGAAAGCUUGACGGAGCAACGCCGCGUGAGUUAUGAAGGUCUUCGGAUCGUAAAACUCUGUUAUUAGGGAAGAACAAAUGUGUAAGUAACUAUGCACGUCUUGACGGUACCUAAUCAGAAAGCCACGGCUAACUACGUG
rnacentral:rRNA from 1 species